AGGAACCACGAAUGAAUUAGGAACUGGAUUUGAUGGAACUAUAAGACAACCAUCAGCGUUAGCAUUAGCUUUGUACAGUGCCAUAUGGGCCACCUCCGGAGGAACAGACUUGAAUCGAGUGGUCGAGGAGAUGAGGAACCCAUCAAAGAAUAUACCACGAGCCUUGUUUCUUGGAAUCCUUACAGUGAUUGUAUUGUACAUACUGACUAACAUCGCUUAUCUGGCUGUAAUGACCAAAAGUGAAAUGAUAGGUGC